AUUUUUGAAACGUCUGCUGCUGUUCAAUCGGAAAAUUGAAAGUUUGUACGGUACUGUGAAAUCACAAGAAGUGAGUUUGAGGCUGAUCCGAAUGCCUGUGGUCCUCAACGCACCCCAGAGACGUAUGAUGCGGCUGUUGCUGAUCUCCAGGCUGAAAACAUCCAAGGCGUCAGAGGAAUAAAGGUGGCAUUUCUUCUUCAGUGCAAAUAUGAGUGACUCAGAGCGAACCUUCCUAGAUGUCGCCAUCAUGGAAGUCCUACCAGAACUUCCAGCAGUACACAAAAACAUCCUGGAAGAGCACUUGCAAUCCAUUGGAGUCGAGACGUAUGAUGAUCUACGCUUUGUAACAGAGGCUGAUUUGAUGACCGCAUUAAGACCUGUACAAGCCAGAAAGCUUCUUUCUGUUUGGAAACAGAAAUACCAAACUCCAGAGAACAGCUCACUAUCGUCUGUGGAAACCUCAGCUACCCAAUCGCUCUCAUCGCUCUCUGUUUCACCCCGAAGUUCAUCAUCAACCUCCUCCAGCAGCCCAGGACUUGACACACAGUGGGACGACAACUUUGAAAUUCCAUGGAGUAAAUUUCCUGAGGAAGUGAUGCAUUCUUUGGAGAGGGGAAAAAGGCCAGGCCCAAAACUAAGGAGGGAAAUGGUCCGGAUUGUUGUGACUGAGAUGAUGGAAAAAUGCCCUCAUGUAGGUAAAAAGCAUUCAACUGAUGUUGCAAAAAAAAUGGUGGCAAAAUACCCCAAUUCUCUGCAAGAUGUAAUAGAGGGUGAUAUUGUUGGAACAGGCUACUAUUCCCUUGUCAAACAGUUGCAUAACAGAAUUGA